UUGGGUGACGAGUGGCGGACGGGUGAGUAAUGUCUGGGGAUCUGCCCGAUAGAGGGGGAUAACCACUGGAAACGGUGGCUAAUACCGCAUAACGUCGCAGGACCAAAGAGGGGGACCUUCGGGCCUCUCACUAUCGGAUGAACCCAGAUGGGAUUAGCUAGUAGGCGGGGUAAUGGCCCACCUAGGCGACGAUCCCUAGCUGGUCUGAGAGGAUGACCAGCCACACUGGAACUGAGACACGGUCCAGACUCCUACGGGAGGCAGCAGUGGGGAAUAUUGCACAAUGGGCGCAAGCCUGAUGCAGCCAUGCCGCGUGUAUGAAGAAGGCCUUCGGGUUGUAAAGUACUUUCAGCGGGGAGGAAGGCGAUGCGGUUAAUAACCGCGUCGAUUGACGUUACCCGCAGAAGAAGCACCGGCUAACUCCGUGCCAGCAGCCGCGGUAAUACGGAGGGUGCAAGCGUUAAUCGGAAUUACUGGGCGUAAAGCGCACGCAGGCGGUCUGUUAAGUCAGAUGUGAAAUCCCCGGGCUUAACCUGGGAACUGCAUUUGAAACUGGCAGGCUUGAGUCUUGUAGAGGGGGGUAGAAUUCCAG
rnacentral:rRNA from 1 species